AUAAGAAGCCAGGUCCUGAAAUAUCAAAUGGGUGGGAAAGAAGGUUGCCCGAGACAUUACACUAGCUUAAGAGGUGGAGGCGGAGACGUUACGCUACCGCUAAGAGGUGGAGGUGGAGACGUUACGCUGGCGUAAGAGGUGGCGGUGGAGACGCUACGCUGGCGUAAGACGUGGCGGUGGAGACGUUUCGCUGGCGUAAGAGGUGGAGGUGGAGACGUUACGCUGGCGUAAGAGGUGGAGGUGGAGCGUCCUUACUGCACAGGGUGUGGAGGGAAUGGCGUGGGCUCAGCUGGCUUUGUCAUCGGACACGCCGCAGGCUCAGUUUCUGCCUCUGUUUCCCACUAAGCUGUUUAGCACAGAAGAAGUUAUUUAACCACAUCUUUGGCCUCA
rnacentral:lncRNA from 10 species